rnacentral:tRNA from 2 species
UUGUUAGCUCAGUCGGUAGAGCAGUUGACUCUUAAUCAAUUGGUCGGGAGUUCGAGCCUCCC